AACUGAGUGUUUACCAAGCAGCGUUCCGUGGUUUGGGGCUUGUAUAAAUAAAAGAUAGACCGAUGAGAAAGUCCAAACGGAAAGACCGGCUUGGAAUGCCUCCCUUGGCCGGGGUGGGGGCGGGCCGUGGCCGACAUUUUUCCAGCCCAGAAGGAAAAAGAUAGCACUGUGUUUCCAGCACCUCUGAGGCAUGAGUCGCGGAGAAACGCUACACACAGCGUGGGCCUCGUGCCGACAGAUCUUAUGGUGAUUUCCUGCAGCAGCCACAGGACGCUGCGACAAAUGGAAAGGAAAGGAUCGCGCGGGGCUCAGGCGGGAUCCUUGCCCGGGUCUGCAUACGCUGGGUCUGGAGACGUCUUCGCGUAGACACUUGGUUAAGUGCACGCCUGCGGGCCAACCACAACACUGGGAAUCCGUCUCCUGCCGAGAUCUGUUGGUUCCGGAAAGAUCGUGCCUCCGGGUGUGAGAAACAACCAGUACAGAUCGUUUCGGUGAUUUGCCCCCAAGGUUUCCGAACUGAGAAGGAUGCACGCUGACCAUGGGGCAGAGGCUGGGGCAAGGUGGCGCCUGUCCCUCUGGCCUCGCGCUGCACGCCUCGGUCAGAGAAGGGCGGUGCGGCCUGGGGGGCAGGGCCAUCCCAGGCGAGGCCCCGCCAUGCCACAGCGACACCACCACACGGGGCCUGCCGGUCCACCCGGCAACCGAGGGAUUUGGCCACAGCCUCCCGCCCUUCCUUCCAGAGCUGAGACCCAGAGAUGCACAAUAAUUUGAAAUCCUCCUUCUCUCAGUGUUUAUAGAGUAGCAAUAAAAUGGCCUUUGGAUCCUUC